AGAGCGAACGCUGGCGGCGUGCCUAACACAUGCAAGUCGCACGAGAAAGGGGAGCAAUCCCUGAGUAAAGUGGCGCACGGGUGAGUAACACGUGAAUCAUCUACCUCCGAGUGGGGAAUAACCUAGAGAAAUCUGGGCUAAUACCGCAUAACACUUACGAGUCAAAGCAGCAAUGCGCUUGGAGAGGAGUUCGCGGCCGAUUAGUUAGUUGGCGGGGUAAUGGCCCACCAAGACGAUGAUCGGUA
rnacentral:rRNA from 1 species